rnacentral:rRNA from 1 species
CCUGGCUCAGGAUGAACGCUGGCGGCGUGCUUAACACAUGCAAGUCGAACGAUGAAGCCCAGCUUGCUGGGUGGAUUAGUGGCGAACGGGUGAGUAACACGUGAGUAACCUGCCCUUAACUCUGGGAUAAGCCUGGGAAACUGGGUCUAAUACCGGAUAGGAGCGCCCACCGCAUGGUGGGUGUUGGAAAGAUUUAUCGGUUUUGGAUGGACUCGCGGCCUAUCAGCUUGUUGGUGAGGUAAUGGCUCACCAAGGCGACGACGGGUAGCCGGCCUGAGAGGGUGACCGGCCACACUGGGACUGAGACACGGCCCAGACUCCUACGGGAGGCAGCAGUGGGGAAUAUUGCACAAUGGGCGCAAGCCUGAUGCAGCGACGCCGCGUGAGGGAUGACGGCCUUCGGGUUGUAAACCUCUUUCAGUAGGGAAGAAGCGAAAGUGACGGUACCUGCAGAAGAAGCACCGGCUAACUACGUGCCAGCAGCCGCGGUAAUACGUAGGGUGCGAGCGUUAUCCGGAAUUAUUGGGCGUAAAGAGCUCGUAGGCGGUUUGUCGCGUCUGUCGUGAAAUGUCCGGGGCUUAACCCCGGAUCUGCGGUGGGUACGGGCAAACUAAAGUGCAGUAGGGGAGACUGGAAUUCCUGGUGUAGCGGUGGAAUGCGCAGAUAUCAGGAGGAACACCGAUGGCGAAGGCAGGUCUCUGGGCUGUAACUGACGCUGAGGAGCGAAAGCAUGGGGAGCGAACAGGAUUAGAUACCUUGGUAGUCCAUGCCGUAAACGUUGGGCACUAGGUGUGGGGACCAUUCCACGGUUUCCGCGCCGCAGCUAACGCAUUAAGUGCCCCGCCUGGGGAGUACGGCCGCAAGGCUAAAACUCAAAGGAAUUGACGGGGGCCCGCACAAGCGGCGGAGCAUGCGGAUUAAUUCGAUGCAACGCGAAGAACCUUACCAAGGCUUGACAUGUUCUCGAUCGCCGUAGAGAUACGGUUUCCCCUUUGGGGCGGGUUCACAGGUGGUGCAUGGUUGUCGUCAGCUCGUGUCGUGAGAUGUUGGGUUAAGUCCCGCAACGAGCGCAACCCUCGUUCCAUGUUGCCAGCACGUAAUGGUGGGGACUCAUGGGAGACGCCGGGGUCAACUCGGAGGAAGGUGAGGACGACGUCAAAUCAUCAUGCCCCUUAUGUCUUGGGCUUCACGCAUGCUACAAUGGCCGGUACAAUGGGUUGCGAUACUGUGAGGUGGAGCUAAUCCCAAAAAGCCGGUCUCAGUUCGGAUUGGGGUCUGCAACUCGACCCCAUGAAGUCGGAGUCGCUAGUAAUCGCAGAUCAGCAACGCUGCGGUGAAUACGUUCCCGGG